AACGCACUUUGCACCAGUUGCUAAAUUGGUAUGUUUGUUUGCAUAUUAUAAUAUUUGCCUCAGAAAAUUUAUGUUUUGAGAAUUUGGGCUUAACAGAGGCUUUAGUAGAAGGUAAUAUUGAUACCUGAAGCUUCUGUAGGCCUUAAAUAUUAUUAAUGCUAAUCUCUAGGUAUAUAGAUUUAUCAGUAUUAUCUCGAUUUUAACUCAAUAUGAUUAUUGAAUUUAUUUCAAUAUGUUCUAUUAGGGUACGUUAUUUUGGAGUGAUAGUAAGUUCUCUAGUCGUUGCCUAAGAGUAUUUAUUGGAAUAAAAGGUUAUGCUUGUACUCUAAAUUAAUUAUAGUUUUUACUUAAAAAUUCAUCAGCUUCCAUUAUAUAAUCUUCAGAUCAAACAAGACUACCCGCUGAAUUUAA
rnacentral:misc_RNA from 1 species